CAUGCUGAUGCCGAAGAACUAGAGAGUCUAUCUGCUUUUGAUGCUAUGAGAGGAGGCACUGCUGACUACAAUCUCUCUGCUUACUUGUUUUGAAUUUGUUGCCUACAUUUGUUCUAGUGUGCCUUUCUGCAGAUUAACCUUGCCAGUUCAUCACCAGCCAAGCUCUACCAAUGUAGCUCAAAAAGGAAAAGAACCAUUUUCAGAGCUGAAGAGAUCCACUGUUUUGCAUCCAGUGCAACACACUCUAUUUUGAAUAAGUUACCUUAAACUUAAUGUCCAAAAUUUAUUAUUUAGCUUAAUAUGAGCUUUUAUAAAAUGAUUUGUUGAAGUAUUUAUUUCCCUUAAGCAUGGUCUGUGUUUUAAAUCUUUAUUUAAAGAAUAAUAUGAUUCUUUAAGAAUGAUUUCCAUUUAGAAAAAAAUUAAUGCAGUCGUAACUCCUAGAGACUGGUUUUAAAGAUAAUUAUAAUGGAGAAACAGAUUUAUUUUUUAUGCAGAUGAACUCUGCAGCAAUGUCAUCCUUUGCAGUUUACAAUUGUUGAAAGCUAAGAUCAAUUAAUUAGAAAUAUUAAAGUUAGGAUUAACUCUUGGACUUGAUCCACAAAUCACUGGCAAGCUGGUGGUUCUGGCAUACAAACAAUUUUGAUUUUAAAACCAAACCACUUGGAAGGUAAAAUGAAUAAUAUUACAAACCUUUUUACAGUAAAGCAAAUUCUUUUAGGUUGUUCCUAUUUAAAAGUUAAGUUUUUAUAAUAUAAUAUGUUUAUUACAAUUUUGGGUUUGGUUUUUUUUGGAGCCAUUGUUUUCAUUGUCUUCCAUUUUACCAACAAGAGAUAGGUUUUCUCAAAAGAAUGUAUCAUGGAAAUUCAUAAAUGACAUAACAAACACUGUGCAUGUUCUCCUAUCUCUAUUGUUAACUUCGCAGUUAGAAAACUCUUUUUCUGCAAGAACAGAAUCAAGUCCCACCUUGGGAUGAAACUGCUAUAUCAUAUUUAUGGCUGAGGAAAAGAAAGAAAAUAAGAACUUUCAGGAAAAAAUAAAUAAAAACAAGGUAAGAGGGGAAAAUUUUGAUUAUGGCAGAGGCGAAUCAACUGGAUGGCAAGCUUAUUAAGAUAAAGAAAUGUAAAAAUCAACAGAAAAACUUUAACUAAACUUGAUUACCUAUUCUGAAUACGAGUGGAUGACAACUGGAAGGCAACAGAAAUUACUAAAGUACUCAUAAGUGUAGAAGGAAGAUAUCACAAAAAAAUAUAAGGAAAUUUUAGUUUUCAGGUUUUAUUCCCAUGAAAACUUACAGGCAAAAAGAAAAUCAACUUGAGACAGGCAGUGAUUUUUGGAAGGUUAGCAGUGUUACUCUAAAUUCUUGCCUUUUAGAUGAGAUUAAUAUUAAAUAAAGCUUCAUUCAGACUUCUCACCUUCAUCCUGAUAAAUCACCUUGCAGUUUUUAGGGAAAAAUCAAAGCUUGCACUCAAGGUGGUUAAUAUUCUUUAUCAUUCAAAUGAAAAUAAUUUUAGAAAACUGAAACUCAUAAAGCAUUUGUUAUUUCUUCCAUUCUCAGCUUCAUCUGACAAUCAGAAAAUAGCCAACAGAUGGAGAUAACUAAAGGGUGAUUUCACUUUUGUGGAUCAUUUGAUUUAAUGAAAGAACACAAGGAGGAUUACUCUGAUGACAUCUUGAUAUAGGUGAUCUUAUUAUACACUCAGUUCAUGAAUUCCAGCUUGUUUGCUUUUUUCCUAUACCUUGUUUUAUGACCGUCUUUCACUGUCUUUUCCUCACUCUCAGUGUGUUAAAGAGGCAAGGGAUGGACAUCAACAUGACCAUCCCCAAAUAAAUGAGUGGAUCAUUACAAAUUCCCAGCACUUCUGUACACCUUCACUUGGAAAGAACAGAAGGAUUGAGAACUACUACUGCCCUAAAGUUCAGGAUGGGGAAGUCUCAGUGUUGAAGCACAGUCAGAUUAUCCAUGCCUAAAAAUGGAACUUUAAAAGCCAAACAUUUUAAAGGAACUAUCAAGAUGAAAAGGUUUUCUUUUUUUUUUUUUUUUUUUUUUUUAAUGCUGUUUUAAAACAGCAAUUUCACGCUUUUGAUAGGCUGCUGAAUGCCCAAAGAUAUAAAAUCCUCCACUCCACAACAUAAAUGUAGUGCCAAUUAUGUCUGGAAAAAAAAAAAUAAAAGACACUGAAGUUGCAAAAAAAUAUAACAAUAAAUAAAUAAAACAAUCCUCUUCUGUAUUUGGAUGAAGCGUUUCUCUUUGAACUUUAUCAUGAAAAAAACAAAACCACCACCUACAGGAAGAUAUCUCUCCAAAGUCUUCUUG
ensembl:lncRNA